ensembl:lncRNA
AUGGAGAAUCAAACCCAAACGAAGUCUAUACUGGCUCGGUCGUCGCCCAGGAUAAAAAGGACCGCGGUGGAUGCUGCUGAUUCUGGACAUCCAUCGACAAGUGGGCUACGGAAUCAUCAAAACCCAAAUGAACAGUCACAGAAGCGGCAGAAAUACACAAUGCCAGAAAACCGCACAAUUAUGAAAUGCUACUACAAAUCUGAACCUCAAAGGCGUGGCUACCAAAAAAGGAUGCAUCAGCUAUGGAAACAAGAGUACCCUGACUCACAGAUAACAGAACCUCGACUGGCUGACCAACGAAGAUUCAUAAUCAGAAACAAAGUGUUCAGUGAAGUUGAACUCGAAGAAAUCCAGAAAAUUUGCAAAGUAGAUUACCAUCAUACCACAGCACAGACAGCAGCAGAGACUCCAGCAACACUUGGAAUGGUGGAACAGAUUGAACCAGUAGAAAGUGUGGCGCUUUUGCAAGAAUUUGAAGAACCAGCACUUGAAACAUCUGCUGAACCACCAGGAACCUUGACAGCAAGACAAGAGCUCAAGGAUAAGAUCAUGGCUCAUGCUGCAGCAAAUGCGAUAAGAAAGCAGCUCCCAACUCUAAAAACAGUGCCCAAGGGACACCUGGCGCCUCUCAUGAAAGAUGUGAAUGCAGUACUCUCCACUGUCCAAAUAACAUCAAUUGAACAAACAAACCAGUAUGCCUACAGUGCAGCAGUGAUAGUAACAGAAGAACUUGGGCUCCUACAACCAAGGCAGCCCCAAAGAAAAUCGACUGGAAAACCAAAGUGGAAGGUCAGGCUAGAGUUGAAAACCAAGAAACUUAGAUCAGAUGCAAGUAACCUGAAAAAUAUGAAAGAGAGGAAACUGAAGAAUGACAAAAUCAAGCAAUACCUGAUCCGAAAGUACUGGCUGAACACCAGAAAAAUUGAAAAAGCUUUGGAAAUCGUGAAAGAACAAAUUACAGCAACAGCCAGAAAAAUUGAAAGGUAUGAAGCCAGAAUCAUCCAGUACAGACAAAAUCAACUGUUUCAAUCAGACCAAAGACGGUUCUACCAGAGCCUGAACCAAACAACAGACACAGUAACCAUAAAGCCAGAGAAAACUGCAACAACGAAGUUCUGGAAAGAACUUUGGGAAAAUAAUAAAAACUACAACAAAAACGCUGGGUGGAUAAAGGAGUUUGAAGGAAAAUUCUCACAGAACAAAAUGGAACUGAUGGAAAUAACAACUGAAAUGAUCAGCAAACGAGUGCAAAAAGUCAAGAACUGGACAUCGCCUGGUAGUGAUCAACUUCAUGGAUUUUGGCUCAAACGUCUGAUUAGUUUACAUGGAAAAAUGGCCCAACAAUUCAAUGAGAUGCUGCAGAAAGGAAGUAUCAGUGAAUGGCUAACAACUGGAAGAACAUACCUGAUACAAAAGGAUCCAGCAAAAGGAGCAGCACCAGGAAACUACAGACCAAUAACAUGUCUGACCACUAUGUUUAAACUACUGACUGGCAUCAUAGCUGACAGAAUUCAAGACUAUCUUGAAGAAAAAAACAUCUUUCCAGAUGAACAGAAAGGCAACAAACGGAAAAGCAGGGGCACAAAAGACCAGUUAUUGAUUGACAAAAUGAUUCUGGAGAACUGUAAGAGCCGAAAAGCUAAUCUUCACAUGACGUGGAUUGACUACAAAAAGGCCUUUGACUCACUCCCACACAGCUGGAUCAUCAAGUGCCUGGACGCCAUCGGGAUUUGUAAAACCGUUGGCACCUUCAUUGAAAACAUGAUGGAGCACUGA